UGGCCACAUUAUGUUGAAACACCAGUUCUCAUACAGUCACCAAAGUUAAACAACAUUGAGCCUGGUCAGUAUCUAGAUGGGUGACCACUUGGGAAUACUGUGUGCUGUAA